rnacentral:rRNA from 1 species
CCUACGGGAGGCAGCAGUGGGGAAUCUUGCGCAAUGGGCGAAAGCCUGACGCAGCAACGCCGCGUGCGGGAAGAAGGCCUUCGGGUUGUAAACCGCUUUCAGCAGGAACGAAAAUGACGGUACCUGCAGAAGAAGGAGCGGCCAACUACGUGCCAGCAGCCGCGGUGACACGUAGGCUCCAAGCGUUGUCCGGAUUUAUUGGGCGUAAAGAGCUCGUAGGCGGUUCAGUAAGUCGGGUGUGAAAACUCUGGGCUCAACCCAGAGCCUGCAUUCGAAACUGCUGUGACUAGAGUUUGGUAGGGGAGCGGGGAAUUCCUAGUGUAGCGGUGAAAUGCGCAGAUAUUAGGAGGAACACCGGUGGCGAAAGCGCCGCUCUGGGCCAAUACUGACGCUGAGGAGCGAAAGCGUGGGUAGCAAACAGGAUUAGAUACCCUGGUAGUCCACGCCGUAAACGAUGGGCACUAGGUGUGGGUUUCAACUAACGAAAUCCGUGCCGUCGCUAACGCAUUAAGUGCCCCGCCUGGGGGAGGUACGGUCGCGAGACUAAACUAACAAUAGAAUAGACGGCGUGAGACGUGCCGAACGGACGACGACGAGGGAGGUAGG